CUCUCUGUCACUUGUUUUGCUUG
rnacentral:piRNA from 1 species